rnacentral:rRNA from 1 species
AGGAUAAACGCUGGCGGCGUGCCUAACACAUGCAAGUCGAACGCGCUUGCUAUCCGCGAGGAGGGUGAGCGAGUGGCGGACGGGUGAGGAACACGUGGGUGACCUACCUUUCAGUGAGGGAUACCGGCGAGAAAUUGCCGACAAGACCGCAUACGCUUCUCUUUUCAAGGGGAGAAGGAAAGCUUUUCGCAAGAGAGGCGCUGGGAGAUGGGCCUGCGGCCGAUUAGCUAGCUGGUGGGGUAAUGGCCUACCAGGGCGACGAUCGGUAGCUGGUCUGAGAGGACGAUCAGCCACACUGGGAUUGAGAACGGCCCAGACUCCUACGGGGGGCAGCAGUGAGGAAUUUUCGGCAAUGGGGGCAACCCUGACCGAGCAACGCCGCGUGCAGGACGACGGCCUUCGGGUUGUAAACUGCUUUUCUCUGGGACGAGCAAGGACGGUACCAGAGGAAGAAGCCCCGGCUAACUACGUGCCAGCAGCCGC